GAAAUGCGAUAACUAGUGUGAAUUGCAGAAUUCCGUGAAUCAUCGAGUCUUUGAACGCACAUUGCGCCCCCUGGUAUUCCGGGGGGCAUGCCUGUCCGAGCGUCAUUGCUGCCCAUCAAGCACGGCUUGUGUGUUGGGUCGUCGUCCCCUCUCCGGGGGGGACGGGCCCCAAAGGCAGCGGCGGCACCGCGUCCGAUCCUCGAGCGUAUGGGGCUUUUUCACCCGCUCUGUAGGCCCGGCCGGCGCUUGCCGAACGCAAAUCAAUCUUUUUCCAGGUUGACCUCGGAUCAGGUAGGGAUACCCGCUGAACUUAAGC
rnacentral:misc_RNA from 1 species